UACAGAGGUCUCAAGCGUUGUUCGGAUUCAUUGGGCGUAAAGGGUGCGUAGGUGGCGGGGUAAGUCAGACGUGAAAUCCCUCGGCUCAACCGGGGAACUGCGUCUGAUACUGGGUGGCUUGAAUUCGGGAGAGGGAUGCAGAAUUCCAGGUGUAGCGGUGAAAUGCGUAGAUAUCUGGAGGAAUACCGGUGGCGAAGGCGGCAUCCUGGACCGACAUUGACGCUGAGGAGCGAAAGCUAGGGGAGCAAACGGG
rnacentral:rRNA from 1 species